AUGUCCACCGCCACCGGCGCAGCCGCCUCGAACUCCCUCUCCCCCACCACCAGCCGGCGAUCAUCGCCGUCUUCCAGGAUCCUGACGACCCCUCGCGGAUCUCUUUCUUGCAGACUACUAUCCUCUUCCCCAUCGCAGUCUCCCCUCGUUCCGGUCUCCGCCAUGGCCUCCCCGGGCGCUGCUGGCGAGGCGGCUUCCAGGAAGAAGCUUCUCAUAUUCGACGCCGAGAAGGACCUGGCGGCGUCUCUGGCCGAGCACGCGGCGGGACUGUCGGAGAAGUUCGCCGCCGAGAGGAGCGCUUUCACAGUCGUGCUCUCCGGCGGCUCUCUCAUCAAAGCUCUGAGGUUCUUGGACCUCCUCGAGAAUGAACACCGCACAUUUCUUGCUUGGCUCUCGCGGGAUUAUGGGCCGGGAAGAGGUCUAAUUUAUUUAUUUAUUUUUUGGCAUCACAGGAAACUGGCUGAGCCGCCGUACCUGGAGGCGGUGGACUGGAGCAGAUGGCACGUUUUCUGGGCGGACGAGAGGGUGGUUCCCAAGGACCACGCGGACAGUAACUACAAACUUGCCAUGGAUGAGUUUCUCUCUAAGGUGCCGGUUCCUGCUAACCAAGUUUACGCCAUGAAUGAUGCACUGUCGGUUGAAGGAGCUGCGGAUGACUAUGAAAAUUGUUUAAAGCAACUCAUCAAGAAUGGUGUGAUUGCGGUGUCACCAGUAACUGGGUUCCCAAAGUUUGACCUUAUGCUUUUGGGGAUGGGCCCUGAUGGCCAUAUCGCCUCCCUCUUCCCUGGACACCCUAUUGUCAACGAAAACCAGAAGUUGGUCACCUGUGUCAAGGAUUCUCCAAAGCCACCACCAGAGAGAAUAACAUUCACAUUCCCUGUGAUCAAUUCGUCGGCACAUAUCGCACUUAUGGUCACUGGUGCUGGGAAAGCUGGUGCAGUUCACAAAGCGCUUUCAGGCAAUGAAAGUUCAUCAGAUUUGCUGCCCGUUGAGAUGGUUGAGCCGCAAGACGGAGAGAUGACCUGGUUCACUGACAAGCCAGCUAUGUCAAUGUUGUCAAGGAUCUGA
rnacentral:rRNA from 1 species